AGACACCCUUAUGGGGCAGGACUUGCUUUAGUGAGGCUUUGGUGCUCACUGAAUCUGCCCCUUGAGUGUGUCACU
rnacentral:pre_miRNA from 1 species